ensembl:snRNA U1 U1 spliceosomal RNA
AUACUUGCCUUGCAGGAGAGUUACUAUGAUUAUGAAAGUCGUUUUCCUAGGUUGAGGCUCAUCCAAUGCACUUCAGAUGUGCUGACCCCUGUGAUUUCCCCAAAUGCAGGAAACUUGACUGCAUAAUUUGUGGUGUGGGGGGGACUGCAUUGCCACUCUCCCCUA